GCUUUCCAUCUUAUCGGUCACCCUUUUGGGAAAAAGCUAUUCGGCGAACAUAACUUGAUUUACAUGUUUGGGCAAGAACAUAAAGACCUUCGCCGACGAAUUGCCCCAAAUUUUACCCCUAAAGCUCUGGGAACUUACACUGAUAUUCAACAGAGGAUUAUUAUCAAACACUUCAAGUCCUGGUUAGAUGAAGCAUCCAAAUCCCCUAACACCCCAAUCCCGCUUCGUCUACUUUGCAGGGAUAUGAACUUGGAUACUUCUCAGACUGUGUUCGUUGGUCCAUACUUGGAUGGAGAAUCGAGAAAGAGAUUUAAUGUUGAUUACAAUUACUUCAAUGUUGGGUUAAUGAAA
rnacentral:misc_RNA from 1 species